AAYGGCACUGCUCUUUCAUGAUGGGAAUGCCGAAGCUCCUUGAGAGUGCCAAGAGGCUGUUCCCUUCUGAGGGCAUUACCGUUGAUUCCUGGAUUCCUGCACAGCUGCAAUUAAUCAGAUCAUCUGGAGGAGUAUAUGAGGACGGAGCUGCMGACACUUCAGAUCCAGAGUGUUAGCCAGUAUUUGGUUAUUCCUCGUAACGCUGUGAACCCACUGGUUGCCAGAGUUCCACUGACACCUCCGCAGUAAACCAAACCUCUUUGGAUUACCCUGUUGUCAGUCUCGCUCACUCCUCGCCUUCUGUGAUCCAAAGCUUACUUGUCUGCCCUCCACCGCAGCCUCUUGGUAAGUCAAGCAGCAACCCUCCACCUGAACCAAGCCCCGGUAACCACAGUGAUUCUUCCUCCCGGACAAGACCUACCYCCACCCAAUGCCCCAGUGAUCCAGAAUCCAGAUUUUCCCCAGAACUUGAUUGUUGAUCAUUAUUUUGUGUUUACAAUAAACUUAUUUAGCUG